GAGGAAUAUUGGGCAAUGCCCGCAAGGGUGACCCAGCAACGCCGCGUGGAGGAUGAAUGUCGUAAGAUUGUAAACUCCUGUUAGAGGGGAAGAAUAGUACCGGUUGGACCGGUAUAUGACUGUACCCUCAGAGAAAGCCCCGGCUAACUACGUGCCAGCAGCCGCGGUAAUACGUAGGGGGCAAGCGUUGUCCGGAUUUACUGGGCGUAAAGCGCGUGCAGGCGGAUUGGAGAGUUGGAUGUGAAAGCUCCCGGCUCAACUGGGAGAGGUCGUUCAAUACUUCCAGUCUUGAGUGCAGUAGAGGGAAGUGGAAUUCCGGUUGUAGUGGUGAAAUGCGUAGAUAUCCGGAGGAACACCAGUGGCGAAAGCGGCUUCCUGGACUGUAACUGACGCUCAGACGCGAAAGCUAGGGUAGCAAACG
rnacentral:rRNA from 1 species